GAUGAAGAACGUAGCAAAAUGCGAUAAGUAAUGUGAAUUGCAGAAUUCAGUGAAUCAUCGAAUCUUUGAACGCACAUUGCGCCCGCCAGUAUUCUGGCGGGCAUGCCUGUUCGAGCGUCAUUUCAACCCUCAAGCACAGCUUGGUGUUGGGACUCGCGUUAAUUCGCGUUCCCCAAAUUGAUUGGCGGUCACGUCGAGCUUCCAUAGCGUAGUAGUAAAAACCUCGUUACUGGUAAUCGUCGCGGCCACGCCGUUUAACCCCAACUUCUGAAUGUUGACCUCGGAUCAGGUAGGAAUACCCGCUGAACUUAAGCAUAUCAAUAAGCGGAGGA
rnacentral:misc_RNA from 1 species